CGCGUAGGCGGGUAUAUAAGUCAGAUGUGAAAUUCCAAAGCUCAACUUUGGAGCUGCAUUUGAAACUAUAAAUCUUGAGGAUUGACGGAGAAAACGGAAUUCCACGUGUAGCGGUGAAAUGCGUAGAUAUGUGGAAGAACACCUGUGGCGAAAGCGGUUUUCUAGUUUAUACCUGACGCUGAGGCGCGAGAGCAAGGGGAGCAAACA
rnacentral:rRNA from 1 species